UGCAUUGACCGGAGGGGCGGAGACUGAGCCCCAGCCUGCCCUCGCGGCCAUACACGUUACCUAGCAACCCAUCAACACAGGAAGUGACCGCACAGACCGAGCCCCUGCUACUUAGGGGGACAAAGCCCCGCCCCCUCCCCUGCCAGUCGGGAAGGGGCUACGGUCACGUGUCUGCUCUGUUUCCUAGAAUCCGGGACCCGGACAGUUCUUCCCCCGCCCGCUCCCCGCUUAGAACCGGAGCGAAGCCGGGCGAGCGGGCGGGCGAGGGCUGGUGCGGGGAGGAUGUGCGGGGAGUGGGGCAUCCCCAGGGCCCCGCCUCUGCAGCGGAUUUGCCGGUACAGAGUGAAGUUUUGAAAGCAACUCUGUUGUGCUAGUGCGUGAUCACCAAGGAAAAGGUUUGGAGCGGAAAUGGAACUCUAAAGAUUAAUAUUGAGGAAGCUGUACUGAACAUGAUGAAAGGAAGAUGUCUGAACAUGCAGGUUCUUCAGGAGAAUCCAGGAUUCUGAAGACUAUCCACCUUCAAGAUCACCAUCAUUUGCUAUAGUUU